rnacentral:lncRNA from 1 species
UGUUUUACUAAUUGGAAGUGUUUUUACAUUUGUUUUUGUUAAUGUAAUAAAUUUAGUGAUUACAUAUCUUUUUUCAUCUAGAUAUGUUAUUUUCUCAAUAAUAUCUAAUAUUAAAUUAUCUUCUUGAGUGAGCAUAUGAAGAUUAUGUAUAGGUAUAGGGCAACUACAAUUAGUGUCGUUCAUUGCAUUGGAUGAUUCUGUGUCUGUUGAAGAAUCUGAAGAUUGAUACCAAACGCGCAGAUCUACAGUGAAUUUGAACCAACUAUUCUAUAACAAGUAAGCAAAUAGAAUACCAUUAUAUUUGAAUAAUUCUUGUAAUAUUCGGAUAUAAUUAAGGCAAAAUAAAA